UAGAGUUUGAUCAUGGCUCAGGAUGAACGCUAGCGACAGGCUUAACACAUGCAAGUCGAGGGGCAGCGGGGAGGUAGCAAUACUUCCGCCGGCGACCGGCGCACGGGUGAGUAACACGUAUGGAACCUGCCCGUAGCAGGGGGAUAAACGGAAGAAAUUCCGUCUAAUACCGCGUAAUAACUCCGAGAGGCAUCUCAUGGAGUUUAAAGGGUAACACCGGCUACGGAUGGCCAUGCGGCGCAUUAGCUAGUUGGCGGGGUAACGGCCCACCAAGGCGACGAUGCGUAGGGGUUCUGAGAGGAAGGUCCCCCACACUGGUACUGAGACACGGACCAGACUCCUACGGGAGGCAGCAGUGAGGAAUAUUGGUCAAUGGGCGCGAGCCUGAACCAGCCAAGUCGCGUGAGGGAAGACGGUCCUAUGGAUUGUAAACCUCUUUUGUCGGGGAGCAAAAGACGCCACGUGUGGCGUUCCGAGAGUACCCGAAGAAAAAGCAUCGGCUAACUCCGUGCCAGCAGCCGCGGUAAUACGGAGGAUGCGAGCGUUAUCCGGAUUUAUUGGGUUUAAAGGGUGCGCAGGCGGAAGAUCAAGUCAGCGGUAAAAUUGAGAGGCUCAACCUCUUCGAGCCGUUGAAACUGGUUUUCUUGAGUGAGCGAGAAGUAUGCGGAAUGCGUGGUGUAGCGGUGAAAUGCAUAGAUAUCACGCAGAACUCCGAUUGCGAAGGCAGCAUACCGGCGCUCAACUGACGCUCAUGCACGAAAGUGUGGGUAUCGAACAGGAUUAGAUACCCUGGUAGUCCACACAGUAAACGAUGAAUACUAAUUGUUCGGGGAGAAUGAUCCCUGAGUGAUACAGCGAAAGCGUUAAGUAUUCCACCUGGGGAGUACGCCGGCAACGGUGAAACUCAAAGGAAUUGACGGGGGCCCGCACAAGCGGAGGAACAUGUGGUUUAAUUCGAUGAUACGCGAGGAACCUUACCCGGGCUCAAACGACACAGGAAUACUUUUGAAAGGAGGUAGCUCUACGGAGUCUGUGUCGAGGUGCUGCAUGGUUGUCGUCAGCUCGUGCCGUGAGGUGUCGGCUUAAGUGCCAUAACGAGCGCAACCCCCAUCGCCAGUUACCAGCAAGUCAAGUUGGGGACUCUGGCGAGACUGCCGGCGCAAGCUGUGAGGAAGGCGGGGAUGACGUCAAAUCAGCACGGCCCUUACGUCCGGGGCGACACACGUGUUACAAUGGCAGGUACAGAGAGAAGCAAUGCGGCGACGCAAAGCGGAACUUGAAAGCCUGUCUCAGUUCGGAUUGGAGUCUGCAACUCGACUCCAUGAAGCUGGAUUCGCUAGUAAUCGCGCAUCAGCCAUGGCGCGGUGAAUACGUUCCCGGGCCUUGUACACACCGCCCGUCAAGCCAUGGAAGCCGGGAGUGCCUGAAGUGUGCAACCGCAAGGAGCGCCCUAAGGUAAAACUGGUGACUGGGGCUAAGUCGUAACAAGGUAACCGUA
rnacentral:rRNA from 1 species